rnacentral:rRNA from 1 species
CCUACGGGAGGCAGCAGUGAGGAAUAUUGGUCAAUGGACGAGAGUCUGAACCAGCCAUGCAGCGUGAAGGAUGACUGCCCUAUGGGUUGUAAACUUCUUUUAUAUGGGAAUAAAAUGUUCCACGUGUGGGAUUUUGUAUGUACCAUAUGAAUAAGGAUCGGCUAACUCCGUGCCAGCAGCCGCGGUAAUACGGAGGAUCCGAGCGUUAUCCGGAUUUAUUGGGUUUAAAGGGAGCGUAGGUGGGUUGUUAAGUCAGUUGUGAAAGUUUGCGGCUCAACCGUAAAAUUGCAGUUGAAACUGGCAGUCUGGAGUACAGUAGAGGUGGGCGGAAUGCGUGGUGUAGCGGUGAAAUGCUUAGAUAUCACGAAGAACUCCGAUGGCGAAGGCAGCUCACUGGACUACAACUGACACUGAGGCUCGAAAGUGUGGGGAUCAAACAGGAUUAGAGACCCGAGUAGUC